AUAUCUUGGCUAUUAUAAAUAAAAUUUCAGUGAACAUAGGGGUGCAUAUAUUCUUUUGAAUUAGUGUUUUGGGUCUCUUCAGAUAUAUACCCUGAAGUGGAAUCAAUGAAUCAUGUCAUUGUUACAAUGUGAGAAUUUGGGCCUAGCAUUGCCAGGGAUACGGAUUUUUAAAUAUUGGCAACUAAUGUCCAUUCUUUUAAAACACUGAAUGUGCCACCUUUGUGGGCUGAACAAAAUGUAUCUGAGAACUGUCAAUUGGCACCGUUAGAUUCAAGCAAAGGGAUAGGCCCUUUUCUCCCUCCCAGCCCCCUCAGACCCCGAUUUCCCCUUGGAGGCCCUCUAGCUGCCUGGGAGGACAGAGUUUAGGUAGAGAGGAUGACUCCAAGAGCAGAGUAGCUGGAGGAAAUACUGAGGAGGGGGUGAGUAAAAUGUGAAAUAAAUGAAAUGGUACUGAGGGCAGAAGAGGAUUUUCUGAAGCCAAGGAAGGGUAAGGCUGGGAAAAUAUAGAAUCAGCUUAUUUAGAAACUAGAGGCCCAGUGCACGAAAUUUGUGCACCGGUAGGGUCCCUAGUCGCUGCCAGAUGCCAACUGCUGGCUGGGGCCUUCCUUCAUUCCAUGCUGCCCCCUGGUGGUCAAUGCACAUCAUAGCGAGCUAUCAAACUCCCGGUCGGUCGAACUCCCAAGGGGACACUUUGCAUAUUAGGCUUUUAUAUGUAUAGAUAGGGGUUCUUGGAAGAUGUAAUAAUAAUCACAACUAAAUAGUAACGUAUUUAUUAUCGGCCUAUUUUGUGUGAAGCACUGCCUUAACUCUAAAUAGUUCCAUCAAGUCGCUGAUUUUUUUUAAAAAACCUUAGGGAUCUCAAAGAUGGACUCCCCAAAGUUUUUAGCCGUGUUCAUUGGCUCAAAAAACAUUUGAUACCUACAAUGUACCAUGCACUACUGCAGCCCACAGCUCAGUAAGAUACUGUCCCUUCCCUUAAUGAAUAUGUCAUUAAGAGGGUGGGAGAGUGACCAGCAAAUUACUGAUGGGUGGGCUCCCUGCCAGGCCAGCCCACACAGGGGGAGGGUGGCAAGGAGGCCCAGGGCCAGUUUCCUCUAAGAGAAGACAUUUAAACUGAUUUCAAGGGCCAUUCAAAGUUAACAAAGCAAAGAAUACGGGGAUAGAGGAUAAAAUUCCAGGACGAAGGACACCACCCCUCUGAUCAGGAACCACCUGCCCAGUGUGUUUGCUGAGAGAUGUGGCCAGAGAGAGUUUCAGCCUUCCUUGCCAUCUCGCAUAGAAAGCAGUGGGCCCUCACUGCUCCUUCAUGUGGUUAUUAAACUGUGCUUGGCAAAGGGGAAGAUGUGGAGAAAUUCCAUCAGUGAGCAUUUAUGAAGGUUGAGGUUAUACCAUACCUUCCCCCGUUGGAGACAUGGGAGGGGUGCGGGAAUGUGUGUGUGUGUGUGUGUGUGUGUGUGUGUGUGUGUCUUUUACGUAUAUGUAAUUUUUGUUAAAGGGAUGAGUAAAGUAGGGUCAUAUACUUGAGACUCUUGGUCUGCAUACAUUUUUUCCCCCUAGCAAUUACUUUUUUUAAAAGCCUGUAGAAAAUUAAAUUAAUAAUAUAUAUGAUAGUCUACAAAACCAAAGGUCAAUAAGAGGACUGGGAGGUGGGGAAGGUAGCCAUGAACUUUCUCCUGCAGGGCGGCUUAGUGGACCCCCCACGCAAGUUGCAGAGUGGAAAAUCACUGAGGUUUGUUGAAGGACGGGCAGCUUUUCCGGCAACACGUCUUGCAGGGACCCAUGUAUCACAUUCAAACCAGGAAGCAGAUGACAGAAAUCACAAGCAGAUGGAAACCCAUGAAUGGACUGUAUCUGAGGGAAAUAUUAAGAAACAGAGGCACAAAGACAUUGAGUGACUUGGCCAAGACCACACAGAAAGUCAGUGGUGGAGCUGGGCUUUCAACCCCAAACGCAGGCCCCGGCGUUGCAUUCCAGCUCACAUUCAGCCGCACGGGAUUCCAGAGCCGCACCCCUAGGGGUCAGCCUGGAGCUCGCUCUCUCCAGGCUGCUUUCUGAAGGCAGGGGAAGGUGGAAUAAAGAUGAGGCCUCCUGGUGCUCCCCUCCCUGUCCACAGCACAGAACGCCAUGUUUUCUUCAUCCAAUGUCUGAACCAGGGCAAGUUUCCACUUUACUUACGAUCUCCGCCCCUGGACUGCGCCCAUCAAGCAGGCUCCUGUUUUCUCUCGGCCAGAUAGCAUCAGAGGGCAACAACUGAAAGCGACUGCGGAACAAUUGUCCUUUUAUACAAGCUGCUUCCUGUCCGUCCUGGCACCCAGAGAGGUAUAAAUAACAAACAAACAA